UUCUAAGGGCGUUGAAGCAUGAUCGCAAGGACAUGUGGAGCGCUUAGAAGUGAGAAUGCCGGUGUGAGUAGCGAAAGACGGGUGAGAAUCCCGUCCACCGAUUGACUAAGGUUUCCAGAGGAAGGCUCGUCCGCUCUGGGUUAGUCGGGUCCUAAGCUGAGGCCGACAGGCGUAGGCGAUGGAUAACAGGUUGAUAUUCCUGUACCACCAUUAUUCGUUUUAAGCGAUGGGGGGACGCAGUAGGAUAGGCGAAGCGUGCUGUUGGAGUGCACGUCCAAGCAGUGAGAUUGAGUGUUAGGCAAAUCCGGCACUCUUAAGAUUGAGCUGUGAUGGGGAGAGGAACUUGUUCCUCGAGUCGUUGAUUUCACACUGCCGAGAAAAGCCUCUAGCUAGAAUAACGGUGCCCGUACCGCAAACCGACACAGGUAGUCAAGAUGAGAAUUCUAAGGUGAGCGAGCGAACUCUCGUUAAGGAACUCGGCAAAAUGACCCCGUAACUUCGGGAGAAGGGGUGCUCUUUGAGGUUCACGCUUCGAAGAGCCGCAGUGAAUAGGCCCAAGCGACUGUUUAUCAAAAACACAGGUCUCUGCUAAACCGUAAGGUGACGUAUAGGGGCUGACGCCUGCCCGGUGCUGGAAGGUUAAGAGGAGUGGUUAGCGCAAGCGAAGCUACGAAUCGAAGCCCCAGUAAACGGCGGCCGUAACUAUAACGGUCCUAAGGUAGCGAAAUUCCUUGUCGGGUAAGUUCCGACCCGCACGAAAGGCGUAACGAUUUGGGCACUGUCUCAACGAGAGACUCGGUGAAAUCAUAGUACCGGUGAAGAUGCCGGUUACCCGCGACAGGACGGAAAGACCCCGUGGAGCUUUACUGUAGCCUGAUAUUGAAAUUCGGUACAGUUUGUACAGGAUAGG
rnacentral:rRNA from 1 species